CCCUCUCUCUAACAAGGAACUAUCAUGGUUUACGAUCUCUUACCGUUGCCAUUGCUGGAGUCGGUCUCCUCGUGACGGGAGAUCUCGGCUUCCAGUUCCAGAACCCAGGAGCAGACCAGGCCCGCGUCGAUGUGCGCGAAUUCCGUUUUUCAGGACCACAUAAGAAUUAUUUAUAUUGUAAAUUGAAGUUGAGGAAGAUCAGCAACCAGGUGAACGGACAUUGUAAAGGACCACCAGCGUCCCGGGUGCCAUUAAGGACGCCAAAUGCAGGCAAUGUUGGAGUAAGCUGUUGGAGAAACUGGACCAAGGUGGUCACAACCCUCAGUAAUGAGGAUGUGACAAUGAAGAAGAAGAAAUUUUAAAAUGUUUAGUUCAAUCUACCGCAAUAGAAAAUUAUUUCAAUAGUUAAGAUAGCAGUAAAAUCUUAUAGUCAAUUUUAGAUUCUAACAGAUAAAUGACACUGCAGCUUGGAGCUUAAAAGUGGACCUUGCUGUGUAGUCUACAUUACUUUCAAUAUUCUCAAUUUUUUUUUUCAGUUUUUUUUUUAUGAUAAAGCUAAUUACUGCUAAUAGACAGUCAACUUAUUUUUAAUUAAGCUGAAUAUUCAUAUUAUUAAUAUUUUGGCAUAUUAAAAAUAAAAAAAUAAUAUAAUAUCCCAUUAAUUCUUUAAUUUAUUUAGGGCAGUAUGUUUGUAGUUAUCAGUGUUAUAUUUUUUUAAAAUAAAACUACUGUUUCGUUUU